rnacentral:rRNA from 1 species
CGUAGUCAUGGGACGGGUGGGGCGGUAAGAGGGGGGGGGGUGGUGUUAAGUGGAAUUGCUGGUGGUAAGGGGAGCGAAGUGGUGGAUGUAUGACAGAGGUGAAAUCCCCGGGCUCAACGUGGGAACGGCGGUUGUGAGUGCAUAACUAGAGUACGGCAGAGGGAGGUGGAAGUCCGCGUGUAGCAGUGAAAUGCGUAGAGAUGCGGAGGAACACCGAUGGCGAAGGCAGCCUCCUGGGCCAGUACUGACGCUCAUGCACGAAAGCGUGGGGAGCAAACAGGAUUAGAUACCCCGGUAGUC